GUGUCAGCAGCCGCGGUAAGACAGAGGCCCCAAGCGUUAGGCGGAAUCACUGGGCUUAAAGCGUGUGUAGGCGGAUCGUUAAGUGUCUUGUGAAAUCCCACGGCUCACCCGUGGAACUGCUGGGCAUACUGGCGAUCUUGGGCCAACUAGGGGCAGUCGGAACAAGCGGUGGAGCGGUGAAAUGCGUAGAUAUCGCUUGGAACGCCGAAGGUGAAAACAGACUGCUGGGGUUGCGCCGACGCUGAGACACGAAAGCCAGGGGAGCAAACGGGAUUAGAUACCCGAGUAGUCC
rnacentral:rRNA from 1 species